CUCAAGAUGGAUUAAAGAUUUAAACGUAAGACCCAAAACCAGAAAAAUCCUAGAAGAAAACCUAGGCAAUACCAUUCAGGACAUAAGCAUGGGCAAAGACUUCAUGACUAAAACACCAAAAGCAAUGGCAGCAAAAGCCAAAAUUGACAAAAGGUUUCCUUAACGACAACAAAAAAGGGAGUAAUCCUACCUACUGUAAGAGUCAUGACUCUUGAUUGCAGCUGACAGAAGCUCAUGACAGCCUGGUUUAGAUAAAAGGGGAAAGGACGACUGGAAGAAUCUUGGAGUUGGGAAUAUGGCACAUAAUUGAAGGAAGAGCAAUAAAACUAUAGCAGCUGCUCCCAACCCCAGCAACUUUGCUAUCUUAGAACGGAUCACCAGUGAAAGAGGGGAAGUUGCUACUGUGAUGAAUUCUGCCAUGUGGUACCAGACUGCUGCCCAGACCACAGUGUCCUCUGCAACCCUGGUAACUCACAUACAGGCCUGAUUCCACCUACAGCAAAGCUGGAUGCUAUGGUUGGCAGAGGCAAGCCCCUUGCCUGCACUUCAGGCCAAAGCCGGGAUGUGGCCUAGAUGGUUCCUAAGGUCCCUGACAGUCCUGAGAUCUUUCAUCUUGUCUAUUUCAGGUCAAAGGUGCCUACAUGUUCCUUCUAGCUUUGUUUCCCUGAUGUUCCUUGCCACCUGCUACUCCUCUCUGAGCUA
rnacentral:lncRNA from 1 species